rnacentral:snRNA from 1 species
GUGCUCACUUCGGCAGCACAUAUACUAAAAUUGGAACAAUACAGAGAAGAUUAGCAGGGCCCUUGCAUGAGGAUGAUGUACAAAUUCAUGAAGCAUUCCACAGUUUU